AACGAACGCUGGCGGCGUGGAUAAGACAUGCAAGUCGAACGGCCCCGACAUUUUAGCAAUAAAAUGUCGGGGUAGUGGCGAAAGGGUGCGUAACACGUGGCUACCUACCUCGAAGUUGGGGAUAGCUCGGCGAAAGCCGGAUUAAUACCGAAUGUGAUCGUGAGAUCAAAGCUGGGGAUCGUAAGACCUGGCGCUUUGAGAUGGGGCUGCGGCCUAUCAGGUAGUUGGCGGGGUAAGGGCCCACCAAGCCUAAGACGGGUAGCUGGUCUGAGAGGACGACCAGCCACACUGGAACUGAGACACGGUCCAGACACCUACGGGUGGCAGCAGUCGAGGUAUUUUUCNC
rnacentral:rRNA from 1 species